GAGGCGGUGCGGGCGCCAUUUUGGCGUAGCCCGGCGCGGGGCGCUGCAGCGCUGCCACUUGCCCGGGUGGGGCGGCGGUCCGGCUGAGGCACGGCUGGCGCUAGGGGGAGCCCCGGGCCCGAGCCGGCCGCCGUUGGCCCGUGUGACUGUCCGAGCUGCUCCAUCUAUCCAGCGUUUGGGUCAUCCCGUGGGUCAGGGCCGUAAGGCUGCUGCAGUACGAGCACUUUGCUCGCAGCCUGUUGUCUCCGGGUCCAUUUUAAGUAUCGGCAGCUUAUGGUUCCCCAGAGCCCUUCUGUGCCACCUCGCAGGUCCCUUUGUGUCAGAGCUGAGCUGCCGUUUAUCCUCACAUUAGCCGUUCGUUGAGAUGUGUGCACACCAUCAGCACUCUGCAUGGCAGCCGGUGUGCUUAGUUACACCUGACAUCCCUCAUAAAGCAAAACUGAGAACGGAUGUGCAAGGAAAAGAAAUAGUAAGGCAAAACUGUAAUGGUACUUCACCAGUGUGCUGUGAGCGCCUGGUGAUGUGCAGGUGAAGGGCUGCCUAGUUGAGGAUAGAGACGUAAAAGCAAUUCAUUAUGUUUGUGUAAUUUCAAUAUCGUAUCGUUAUGGUAUUGUUAUUUUCCACCAAAUUCUAACGUGGUGUCUUCAUAAUCCUUCAGCAGCAGGCAGUGCUAGCAGUGCAAAGUGACCAUUUUCGUGGUCAUACCUUCUUUUCUCUUUGCUUCCUGUAAGAAGGAAGUAGUCGCCCACAAUGGAAUCUGGUCCUUCUCCUUGGGCUUGAAGCUGUGACGGAUUCUGUAUGUUGGAGGAUGUGUCGCUGAUCCAUAUGGCCACGAACAGAGAUUGCACGUUUUUAGGAAGUCUAAAAGAGGGCAAAAGCAAAAUACAUCACUAUUCACCCCCAAUAAUCUUGCUGCUGUUCUGACUGACCACAAGAGCUCACAUAGCUAUAUGGGAGUAAAGAAUCUCUAACGUUUAACAGUAGACUCAGAUUGCACUACUACUCCAUUUUGCAUUUCUUACUGAAGUUCCUAGCAAAGUACUUGGAAGCACACUGUAAUUGCUGUUCAGCAUACAGGGGUUAAUCACAGCCCGCUUCACGGGGCACAUCUUAACAUCUCAGUGUGGUAAAUGUUAUACUGGUAAAUUAUUAAAACCUUUACAAUUGAUUCUAAGCCUGAAUCCUUGGGUUUGAUUUUCUAGGAUGUAUCUUUCAUGAAAUGUUAGGCUGAAAUGCUUUGAGCAUAUGUUGCAAAAUGUGGCACUCCCAUUUUGUGAUGUGUUCAAAGAUGCUUUUGUGAUAGAAUUUUCUCCUUAUGUCUGGUGCAGUGAAUGCUGACAGAGAGGUUUCACAGCUGAAAGCUGGGAAAGGCAGUUAAGGGACAUAGAACGUGUAGCUGCAGCUGAGUGAACUGCUUCCCCCCUGACUGCAGCAGUGACUGACUGGUGGAGGAACAUAGACUGUAUUGUCUGCAUCCAUGUAGAAUGGCAAGAUCCAAAAAUACUUUAUGUUAUGCAGGGUAUUUAUCAUGGGAAGUAAUAUCAGUUUCUUAUAACACGAACAGAUUGAGUGGAUCAAAAGAUAGGUGGUCUUACUGCUGAAAGGCCAUAAGGCUGAGAGCUGACUGUGAGAUUUUUAGGCUCAUCAGAAACAGGCCUACUUCAAUGUGUUUUGAGCACCAGGCUGGCAUCACGUAUUUCAAAAUGGUGCUGUCUCUUAAUCAACUUCUCAUAGAUCCUGUGUGAGAACAGUGCUGGUAACACAUAACGUCAUUUAUCACUGUUCCGUGGUAGUGCUUGGUAAAAAGGUCAAGUCAAAGUUCCUCAACCACGCGUGUAACAAAAGUUUUAUUUUUUUUACUUUCUCUUAACAGAUCGUCAGAUUUAUCCUUUUGAUUUUGUCAUUGCGACUAUUUGCAACGCUAUUUCCCCUUCUUGCAGCUUUGAAAAACGUCUUUGUUGUGCUGUUUCCUCUCAGGCACUUCCUUAAUACUCACCUCCCCCAGAGAGCAGGGCUGUCCAACCACUGCAUCGGAGAGGUGCACAGCGCGUGUUGCUGCAGUGCAGCGUAAUCAUGCUUGUCUGCCAGUGAUCCGGAAUGUAAUUGUGUGAGAUUGACUCUGUCAUCAUAACAUCAGAGCAAGAGAGGUCAACUGGGUGGAAUGCCAAGAAGUGUGGCGUGGUUGCCAAAGGACCCCCAAAAUAUUGUCUUCUGCAAGUCCAACCACGUGAAUAAAAGAACACAUUACCACAGCAAAACUUGAAGCAAGCUGAAGCACGUUGAACAAAAUAAUCCCUUACAAGGGUCAUAGCAUUUGUGCUUGUCUUGUUGGCUCUCACUGGAUUGAAUAGAGAGCCAAGGAUAUACAGUGGAUCAGAGUUGUCCUUUUCUUGCAUCUGCUCCCAGCAGCUCGUACAAUGGGUGCUGAAUUCUAGGCGGUGUCUCAAGACAGAUGAUUUAUUUAGGAAUUACAGUGAUUGUUAGGGUAUGUUCUACUUUCAGGCUCAUUUAUCCUCCACUCCCUGCUCAGCAGUGCUUUUCCCUGUCUGCUUAAUCAGAGCUUGCAUUUUGCUUAUCCUGUGAAUACGUGCAUAUAGAGAAAUAAACGAAGAACGUAUUUUCAGUCACCCAGGAUGUUUUCUGCGCUUCGGGAAAUAAACUUCAUUGUCGUCACUUAUAUGCUUUCAAGUAUUCACAACAAAAGGGUUUCUAAGGUCUGGGAAAAAUUCAAAAACGAUUGGAAAGGAGCCAUCUUCAGUCAUCAGGCUAUCACAAGAAAUGCAUAAACCACAUCCUCAGAAGCUGCAAACACCCUAAACUGGUGUUUUGUUUCUGUUAUCUUAGCAACGGCAAGUAUGAACAGCAGGAUAUGUGCUCACAAAAUGCACUCGUUAUUUCUCACGACGACUCUGUAGCGAGCCUUUUGUUAUAUGCAACCUUUCACCUCAUGCAAAAUCUGAUUAUUCUGAUAAAAUAUAAAAAAGCCGAGCACUCAAAAAAAGUAUGACAUAGAUAGAAAUGCACUUCACAGAACAGUUUCUGUAUCUGUAGUCUUCGUUAUCAUAAUUUCAGUGUUUCCGUAGCAUUUAAAAAUAGAAAUGAAAACAAGCCUCUGCCUCUCGUGCCCCUUCCCAGCCCAUAGGAUAAGUAGCUUGAGUCAUCUAUAGGGUGUGUGCGUGACCGCAGGAGUGGUGUCUUUGCAUAGAGAGAAAUUACUGAGAGCAAGAGGGUAGAAAAACUGAGCAAGCAAGGUGCCUGUGAUAGUUGAGGACUGACCUUGCAGCUCGUGGAAGUUCUCUUCGCACACUCAGAACCCUUCUCCUUGGCGACUGGUUCCACUGCAGCACAGCUCAUACCAGUCCUUGGUGCAACAGCAGCGACUUUGGUAUCUUCACCAAAAAAGAAAAGCCAUACUGACAUUCGCUCCACUUAACCCCAGAACUCCACAACAGCUGGGAACGUUUUGCUUCCGUUUUUCACAGAGUGAAACUUCGUCUCUUCCAGGCAAAUGGCACCUCUUCCCUCACUCUGCCAUCUUUUGUUACAGGUCUACUCAUAAUCUACAAUCUCAUUUCCUGCUUUUCUUCUUUUGGGGGAAAACAUUGACUACAGAGAUUUUAAAGUGAGAAAUGAAUGCUUUUUCUUGUAUACAAGCAGUGGACAGAGGCCUGCAAGCCUCUCAAAACAGCCCCAACUAACCUAUGUGAGCGACAGCAGCAAAGCAGGAGCUGUACCUGCAGCAGAGGUGGCAGGGCUUUGCUUUUGUUUUCUCAGUGUUGCAGAGAGAAGAGAGAGAUCCGGUGGAUUUGCUGGUCAUUUAGGGAACAUUUUAAUCAGAACUAUUCCUGUUUACGAGGACUUGAAGUGUCACCACCAAAAAUAGUUUGGACUUUCAGAAUGAGCGAAACGCACAAAAACUACUGUGGAAAAAGAGAGGAGAAGAAGAGGACACGGUUCCCCACUGGAACAGCACAAGGAGAGCAAAAAGGAGAGGGCCAUAAGUGGUUAUAUUCAAACAUCCCAGGUGGGGCUGGGAAACACAGACCUGAAGAACCAGAAGAGGGGAUCCCCAGGAGAACUGAAAGGCAGCAGAGGGGCACUGCGAUCACACCAACUGCUGGAAAAGGGGCUGUGGCAGAAGCGGAAUUGUCCUUGCAUAUUAAGUGUGAACUGGAAAGGAGAAGCAGCACAGGGAGCACAGCCACACCGGGUCUGAAUCCUAACAACGGGAGGAAGAAGGAUUUUAGGGCAGUUUACAAAGCUGAGAUGGACAACGUUCACAUUUUUAAAAAUAUGAAUGUUCCAAUCAUUUUUCUUUGCAUUUCACUACCUUUUAUUUUUGUGUUCUUUCUUCAGUGUUUUCCCUUCCUUUUGUGGUUAUGAUACUGAGCAGCAGAAGCAGCUUUUUGGCAGCUGAGUGAAAUACCACGUGCCUUUAAGAAGCGAGCAGCAAACUGGAGUGCACUUGAAGGAGAUAUGUGUUAAUGAAUCAGGGAAUGACACCAUAAGAAAUAAGUUCAUUUUUUGUAAAAGAUGAGAGUAGGCUUCCAGGGCUCUACCCUUUAGACAGCAAUAAAAUGCAGCAAGCUGUUUAAAAAUAUAUAUUCACUGGCAUUUCCUAGUGAUCUGUAAAUAUUCUUUGUAAUCUUUUAAGCUUGGCAGCUAGAAAAAGAAGAAGAAAAAAACAACCAUCCACCAUUUCAAAAUGCCAGCAGUGUGCUGGAAUGGCUUUAGAGAAGACGACAGGCUUCUGGACCUCAGUGAAAUCCAGCUAAUAGCGAGAGCACACAUAGCAUUGCUAAAAAUGAAAGCCAAAGUGUUCUUGGCACCUUCCCACCCGUAAGCAUUCAUUCAUUUGAAAAAUAGUAUUCCUUAGAGAGGAACAAGCUAGCGAAGAAAGGCAGAGUCGCAGAAGGACAGGGCACAGUUUUCCACUUCCAACUGCACCCACAAUUUCUGUGCACGGAUCAGCACUGAUGUAAAAAACUGGAUCAAGAUCUGCCUGGCAUUAGGUGCUGCACAUAAAAUUGCUGCACCGCAAGAAGCAGGGUAUUUCCAAAGCUGCAAUUCGUUGGACACCAACAAGUAGGGAUUAACAACCACAUCGGAAAUAAUGAGCCUUGACAGAUCUAGGGUUAAAUACUUUAAAAUUAGAUCCUGCUGAAAGCUGAAUCCUGUUGCUUAGCGACGGCUGUAUGGGAUGCUGCUGUCACUCCAUGGAUGCUUCUCUGGGGAGUCAGCACUGCGCUCACAGAAGUGGGUUAUGAUUGGGUCAAGGUGACAUCAUGAAGCACGGCAGCAAUAUUUUUUUAAGGUAGCACGUAGCACCAUUGCACUCAACACAGUGGCUGUGUAGCCACUGUGAAGCUUAAGGAAACAUCUGGCUUUUCUUUUGAAAGGGCUCUGCUCUACCAACACGGUACCUGCCUCAAAGAAGGGCUCACAGACCCCAUGGAGACCGCAGGUUGUUCUGGCAAGCAUGCCAUAGUCCAACACAACAGGUGGACUUUUAAUCUUUUCCAAUUACCCACAGCCAAAAGAGAAGGAAGAUAAAAUGCCUGUAAUUUGUAGAGGUCAGACUGUGCAUGCAGAGCAUGGAAUCCUCCACCAGCAGCUCAAAAAAACAUGCACAAAGCCCUUCAGAGAGAGGAAAAUGCACCCUUCCAGAAAAUGGCUGAAAAUAUGGUUUGCUGAGCUCGUUUGGGCAUCUAAAGCAAAUGAGAACCUGCUGGAUCUUAGUGAGAAAAUACCAAAAUACCAAUUUAAUGAAAUAAGAUAUCUUGGUGACAAGGAAUCAACUCUUAAAUGUAAUGUUGUGUAGAAUUUUCCAGAACACCACAUGCCAGGUGAAAAGCACACGGACACCUGAGUGCUUCUGAGGUUGGGCUGAUAGGGUCCAACCUGAGUCCAUAGGCAAGGAAACGCCCAAGUAAUGCAUCACUACCACCUUUUUAGGAAUGAAUGCAAAAAUAGUGCAUCCAGUCCAACUGAGUGCGCUGCCUGCCAGGUCUUGGGUAGUCAAGAAUCAAUAGAACUGGAGAUUAUGACAACCAGCAUAAAAGCAAAGCUCAGCUAAACAUGUGCAACUUUAAUUAUAGUCAACUGUCCUUAUGUAGAUGCUGAAAGAACACACAAGUACUUGGUUGAAAGUAGUCAUUCUGAUGACUCAGUAUGACGACAGCAAAUGUGGCAUCUCAUAGGAGCAGAGAUGCUGAGGCCAGGAAGCACUGAGGCCAACUUGCAGAAAGCACUGGCAUUCCUGAAGAGCAUCCAUAGCUCUUGCCACGCGUGUGUCAGCACGCUGAAUGCAAACCAGGACUGAGCUCAAAGAACAAGAAGGGUGGCUACAAGGAAUGCAGAUCAUGUCUUCCAAAGGGAAAGCAAAUGAUCUUGGUUUGUUUAGUAGCUCGAGAGCCUAAGGAGGAGAAUGAUUGCUUUUGUACUGAGGCAAUGGGAAAAUAAGUACUCGUGUUUAACGAAGCUCUUUAGACAAACACUGGCAGGGGAUAGCUAAUUAUGUUAGAAGGAAAUGGGCUGUAGCUGCAAGAGCAGGUAGCUUUCAGUAGAGCCUGCUUGAAGAACAGGGAGAACAAGAAACCCACUUCAUCUGAAGACUGAAAACUUCAAGCACAGCUGAUACUGCUGUCUUAUCUCAGACACAAGAACAACCCACAGCUAGAAACAGGAGUUUCUACACCCAGAUACACCAGGGAAAGCUCACAAUAAUGUUCUUGGACUUUCACUGGUACUCCCAUGUGACCAUCACAAAGUGUGCCGGAUAUUUGCUGUUACACACACACACACUCAGAACACUCAAAUUAAGAACACCUACAGGUAUAUGGAAACUCAAGAUCUGAGACAGUAUCAGCAUAUCCUGUGUCAAAUUUAGACACACAGUCUAAAUUAGUACUUCUUGAACAAAUGUCCUUAAGAUCCAGGUGGCAUACCUGGGUAAUUGCUUUGGUUCCAGGAGCUGUGGCUCCACAGAGGGUAAUUCCCAACAAAGUUGUCACAGAGGAAAACGCUCUCUGACGUUUAACAACAGUACUGCGAAUAAAAAUUGGAUGUCAUUAAUACAUGAUUCCUAGCUGUGAUUUUGUCUGAGAAAAGUAAUUUCUCUAUGAACUACACUGAAGUGAAUACUUACACAGUUCUGUUCCCACCUCCUGAUCACUCUGCUUCCCGGGCACCAGGAGGAGUUCACGCACACGUGCUCAUCCAAGCAGCAGAUCUGUCCCAGGAGCAGGGGGCAAGCUGAGACAGGUGCAAAAGGGAUGGGAGCAUUUUGCUCCUGCUGCUGGAGGAGGGCGCUGCCACUGGUAUGCCUUCCAUAAGGCCUUAUGGAUAAAGAUGCAACAGGCCCCAUCGAUCACAGCUAAAGGAAAUACUGAAAGAGCAUCAAGUGAGAACUAUGCAGCUUUAUCCAGGGAUAUGCUCUUACAAUUGUCCAUCCUACACUGUGUUGCUGAUCGCUGAGUGCUAUACAAGCAGCUUAACUGCAGCAAUACAGAUAUAGAACGAAAUCAUAGAUAAUCAUCAGAAAAAAACCUGAGCUUUUGCCAAAAAGCAAAAUAUACAAGGUGAGAUGUUGAGGUGUCUCACACGAGGACAAAAGGUGUGCAGUUUCCAAGAUGUCAGAACAUUCCUUGAAUUCUAUCAAGUCCCAGCAUUAAUAGGAUAUACUUCAAGUAUUACGGCCAGUUAUGGAUGAACUUUCCUGAAAACAAAUCCUGCUAUGUGUUACCAUCCAGAUUACUUCUACGUGCACGCAACGUUCUUAACCAAGCAGAGACCUACAGCGAAUUACAUUUGCUUUUGUUUUUCCAAACAAACCCACGCCUGUGGAGCAGAUUCAAAGGAAAGCGGGGGGCUCUCCGAGCACCCUUUGGGACUGAUACCACAAUCUGUAGAUAAAGAGAGAACACAGCACUUCCUGUUUGCAAUGCCAUUUAUUUUAUAAAAGCCCCUUUGAUCAUCUGAAUGAAAAAUGUGGGCAGAAAAGUCACAAAUGUUAUAAAACAAAGUUUAUUCUGCAAUAUUUUGUCAUAAUGAAUUGCAUCUCUUUGGUAAAAAUAAACUUUAUAAACAUUUUAAUUAACAGAGAUUAGCAUACAAAAAACUAAACUUCUGUAAAUAUUCUUUAAAACGAGGAAAGGACUAAAGUGGAGGGAAAAGGGUUAGAAUUGGUCACCUACGGGCAAAUUAUCCUAACCAAACCCAAGGACGCUGCUUAUGCUACAUCAGAAACAAGCUAGAGGGAACAUUUUAAAAACAACUCUGGUUCAUUUGAUCAGAAAGCAUUCUUACAAUUCACUUUUAAAUAAAUAAUAGUUACAAUGAAUUGGCAAUUAUAAAAUGUUUUAUAUCACUAUAUGGCAGCAACAUAAUACUUUUAAUUAUGCACUUUUUAGUUUGAAGAAAUGUACAUUUAUAAAACAGACUUGGUAAUGGCACUGGCAGUUAGCUGUGAAGAAUGUGCUUUAAGAUAGAAUGGCAGGUGCAACAUUUAAAAUAUUCUAUUUCUUCUUUUCAAUAAAUAUUUUGACUACACCGUUA